CGAGAUAUAGCUUAAUUUUUAAAGCUUCUUGUUUACACCAAGAAGACGCCUGACAAUAACAGGCUAUUUCGAG
rnacentral:tRNA from 2 species